rnacentral:misc_RNA from 1 species
GUAGGUGAACCUGCGGAAGGAUCAUUAUCACGUAUCCACGUAUAAACCAUCGUGAACUGUACCCGUACCUUCGUUGAUGAAGCUACAGACGAGCCUCGUGUUUGGUUAUCUUCAAUGAAGACCAAAUACAGCUCAUGUUGCAGAUGUAAAUCUGCGCAUAUGAAGAGAUAUCCGAAAUGUCUGAGAAGCAACAUGAGCGCUCUUCAUGUCUGGUUAUGCUGCGCCACGGAGUGUACCACUAUUAACCAUUAUAACCCAAUCUUUAUAACUUUUGAACUAACUUAUUUUAUACUCUUCGGAGAUAAAAUUCAUUACGAAACAAAGAACAACUCUUAGCAACGGAUAUCUUGGUUCUC